rnacentral:lncRNA from 1 species
AUGUUUGCAUCUUUUGCAUACAUUUCUUGCCUCAGAGAUUUUGGCUCACCUAUGGGAUCAAUCAAGAUUACCAUUAAGCACUGGGUGCAGUUUUCUGAAGUAUCUCAGCACAGACCUGUUUUCUGUGAGCAUCUCAACACCUUGACCCUCACUAAGAACAGCUGCAACUUUUCUCCUGCUUGUGCUGACUUCUCCACCUCUCGCUGCUCUACAGCAUGCUGCCUCACAUCAUAUACAGCUCCAGAAAUAGAGGCAGGUGAGUCUUGA